rnacentral:ncRNA from 1 species
AAUAUCUUUGUGGGGAAAGGUGGAGCGCAAGAUCUGCGCUCCCGAAGAGGGAAGAUCGGUGAGAAUCCGACGCGGUCCCGCCACUGUGAAUGGGGAGUCUGAGUUUGGCCACUGCAUUUGUUGAUGAUGGGAAGGCCAGAUUCAAGUGAAGACGAUGAUCCAUGAGCCAGGAGACCUGCCUUUUCUGACAACACCGC